GGAGGGAUCAUGGCUCAGUGGUAGAGCAUCUGCUUGAUAGGCAGAAGGUCCCAGGUUCAAUCCCUGGCCUCUCCA